CAGCUAGUUGGUGGGGUAAAGGCCCACCAAGGCGACGAUCAGUAGCUGGUCUGAGAGGACGAUCAGCCACACUGGGACUGAGACACGGCCCAGACUCCUACGGGAGGCAGCAGUGGGGAAUUUUGGACAAUGGGGGCAACCCUGAUCCAGCAAUGCCGCGUGUGUGAAGAAGGCCUUCGGGUUGUAAAGCACUUUUGUCCGGAAAGAAAUCGCACUUACUAAUAUUAGGUGUGGAUGACGGUACCGGAAGAAUAAGGACCGGCUAACUACGUGCCAGCAGCCGCGGUAAUACGUAGGGUCCAAGCGUUAAUCGCAAUUACUGGGCGUAAAGCGUGCGCAGGCGGUUGUGCCAAACCGAUGUGAAAUCCCCG
rnacentral:rRNA from 1 species